rnacentral:lncRNA from 1 species
GCCAAAUAAUAGCAUUAAUCAUCUCAAAUAUAAGUAACACAAUAUCAACAAAUAAUGUGGAUGGAAUGUGAGGUAAAAUAAUGUUGGUAAAAAAUAUAUUUUCGACACUUCUGUGAUCUACAUAUAAAUAUUUAAAAAUGGUAAAACAGAAAAACAUAUUUAUGUUUAUAUUAUAUACAAAAAAACAUUACAUAUUUGAAGUUAUAUAAAUAUAUACCUCUUCUUAUUUAAAAAAUGUCUUUUUACCUAUUGCAGUAUUCAAUAUAGUAUGCAGAGAAAGAAAUUGUGUUAAAAUAUAAGUAAUUUAUCAAAUAAUAACUUACAAGCUUGUGAACCUGGUUCGCUAUUACUGGAGUUUAGAAAUAUUGUAAAUCUUACCUAAUGUAUAUAUUCUAAAGUUCAUGAACAUUUAACCCAACAAUGAUCUGACCUCAAGCAUAUAUAAACAAUUAAAAAAAGUAUAACUUUAAAUUUCUAUAUAUUUUCAAACAGAACACUUCAAAGGGUUAAGGAUCACGAGAAAUACAUGACAUUUUACUCUAAGGAAAUAUAAGUGAUUUUUUUUUUUCAUUUUGAAUUGCAUAUAAAUAAACUCAUCAUAGAUACCAGGAUUAAAUUUUGUAUUUACGCCAGACACGCGUUUUGUCUACAAAAGACUAAUCAGUGACGCUCUAAUCCAAAAAUGUUAAAAAGGCCAAAGAAAGUACAAAGUUGAAGAGCAGCUGAUAAUGAUAUAGAAUAACAAACUUUGAAAAAAAAAUAUAAUCUUUCAUUUUUUUAAUAACUCCAUUUUGAUUAUGGAACAUGGUUUCUAUAACUUUAUUCAAAGUAAAGAUAAUGUACAUCUAAUUGUUGUCAUUUUUUAAGUCAGAAUAAGUGACUAGUUUUUGUACAUAAAAGCCAAGUACAAAUGAUAUAGAAUAUUUUUUUAAAAAAAAUCUUGUUUUGGCUGUGAAAUAUAUAUUACCCUAAGAAUCAGAAAUAUUUGAUUUAUCAAAAUGUGAAUAUGUACAUUAUUAUCAAAAUACCAUAUAAGUUAUAGAUAUUUCAUAUCUUUUGGAUAGUUUUGUGGUGUAUCGUAAAUUAUACCAUAGCUUUUGUUGAAACUCCCGGCAAUAACCUCACGAGACGAAGUCGAGUGUGGUUGCCGAGGGGUUUCAACAAAAGCUAUGGUAUAAUUUAUGAAACACCACAAAACUAUCCAAAAUAUAUGAAAUAUCUGUUUUAACCUAUUGCAUAUAUUGCUGUUUAAAAAUGUGUAUUUCAUAUAUUUUUGUUAGUUUACUUUAAAAAUACUUUAAUAAGAAUCAGUCAAAUUACCCUUUUUGGACCUUACACAUUAAGCUCUGCCUACUUCCUGAAAUAAGCACGGGCUUCUGAAACAGCGGGAACAUCAGUUAGACAAGAUUUUUCGACAGUGAUGGAUGCACAUCUACAGUGGUGACGGGUAACGUUACAAACAAAAGAAAUUGGAUGUUCUGCAUAUGGCUGCAAGAGAUAUUUUAAAAGUUUUCCGGAACCCCAGAUUAAAAGUUGAACUGCAAAGGGUUAGUGUAUUUUUUUUAUUUUAUUCAAAUGUUAAAUGUUCGAAAUGUUUAAAUUUUUAUUGUUGAUUAAUUUUAUAAUUAUGUGGAAAUUUAAAUCUCAAGAAUCUUUUAGUGAGUUUGGAUGAAUAAUUCCACGUUUUAAUUUGUACCAGAAGCCCAAGUCGACGCAUUAAUUAACAGGAAUUCAAAAUGUCCACGAUUAAAAUCGCAUGCGAUGUAUAUUCUAGAUAAUUUAAACAAAAUGUUCAGCUUCAUUUAAAGAAAUUAUGUUCAGCUUCAUUUAAAGGAACCUAGCUAUUUUAAUUCUCAAACAUAAUUGUUAUUACUUAAGCAACCUCGUUAACAGUUUGGAUUUAUAUCAAAUCGGAUGAGAAUCGAGGAUUUUUAAAGGGGGAGGGGUCUAGCAAGUCAACAUUUAAGGUAAAACUAUAUUUUAAACUAGAGGCUCUCAAGAGCCUGUGUCGCUCACCUUGGUCUAUGUGAAUAUUAAAGGAAGCAGAUGGAUUCAUGACAAAAUUGUGUUUUGGUGAUGGUGAUGUGUUUGUACAUCUUACUUUACUGAACAUUCUUGCUGCUUAAAAUUAUCUCUAUCUAUAAUGAACUUGGCCCAUUAGUUUCAGUGGAAAAUGUUACUAAAAAUUUACAAAUUUUAUGAAAAUUGUUAAAAAUUGACUAUAAAGAACAAUAACUCCUAAGGGGGUCAAUUGACCAUUUCGGUCAUGUUGACUUAUUUGUAAAUCUUACUUUGCUGAACAUUAUUGUUGUUUACAGUUUAUCUCUAUCAAUAAUAAUAUUCAAGAUAAUGACCAAAAACAGCAAAAUUUCCUUAAAACUAACAAUUCAGGGUCAGCAACCCAACAACAGGUUGUCCGAUUCAUCUAAAAAUUUCAGAGCAGAUAAAUGUUGACCUGAUAAACAAUUUUACCCCAUGUCAGAUUUGCUCUAAAUGCUUUGGGUUUUGAGUUAUAUGCCAAAAACUGCAUUUUACCCCAUGUUCUAUUUUUAGCCAUGGCGGCCAUCUUGGUUGGAUGGCCGGGUCACCGGACACAUU